rnacentral:rRNA from 1 species
GUGGGGAAUUUUCCGCAAUGGGCGAAAGCCUGACGGAGCAAUACCGCGUGAGGGAAGACUGCCUAUGGGUUGUAAACCUCUUUUUUCAGGGAGGAAUAAAUUGACGUGUACCUGAAGAAUAAGCAUCGGCUAACUCCGUGCCAGCAGCCGCGGUAAGACGGAGGAUGCAAGUGUUAUCCGGAAUCACUGGGCGUAAAGCGUCUGUAGGUGGUUUAAUAAGUCAACUGUUAAAUCUUGAGGCUCAACUUCAAAAUCGCAGUCGAAACUAUUAGACUAGAGUAUAGUAGAGGUAAAGGGAAUUUCCAGUGGAGCGGUGAAAUGCGUAGAUAUUGGAAAGAACACCAAUGGCGAAAGCACUUUACUGGGCUAUUACUAACACUCAGAGACGAAAGCUAGGGUAGCAAAUGGGAUUAGAUACCCGUGUAGUCC